rnacentral:rRNA from 1 species
CCCGCGACAAGCGGUGGAGUCAUAGUGGUUUAAUUCGAUGACUACGCGAGGAACCUUACCUGGGCUCAAAUGUUAUGUUGACGUAUUCUGAAAGGGAUACGUUCUUCGGACAAUAUACAAGGUGCUGCAUGGUUGUCGUCAGCUCGUGUCGUGAGAUGUUGGGUUAAGUCCCGUAACGAGCGCAACCCUUGUCCUUAGUUACCAGCACGUUAUGGUGGGCACUCUAAGGAGACUGCCGGUGACAAACCGGAGGAAGGUGGGGAUGACGUCAAGUCAUCAUGGCCCUUACGGCCUGGGCUACACACGUGCUACAAUGGUCGGUACAAAGGGUUGCCAAGCCGCGAGGUGGAGCUAAUCCCAUAAAACCGAUCGUAGUCCGGAUCGCAGUCUGCAACUCGACUGCGUGAAGUCGGAGUCGCUAGUAAUCGUGAAUCAGAAUGUCACGGUGAAUACGUUCCCGGGCCUU